UAUGAAUACUAACAUAGCUUUAAAUAGAGAAAGAAGGGUCUAAGAGACCUGAAGGGGGGGAAGUAGAAAAAGAGAAGAGCAAGUUGGUGAAAAAAGAUGUGAUAGAAGUAAAACAGACAGAUGAGAAAGUAGUGAUAGGAAAAGCAAAAGACAAAGAUGAAGUGCAUGUAGAAAGUGAAGAAGAAAGAGAGAAUGA
rnacentral:lncRNA from 1 species